rnacentral:lncRNA from 1 species
CUCUGGGGUGCUGGGGUGGGAUCUGGGUUACCAGGGGUGAGAUCGGGGGCGCUGGGGUGAGAUCUGGGUUACAGGGGUGAGAUCGGGGGCGCUGGGGUGAGAUCUGGGUUAGAGGGGUGGGAUCUGGGGCUCUGGGGUGAGAUCUGGGGUGCUGGGGUGAGGUCUGGGUUACAGGGGUGAGAUCUGGGUUACAGGGGUGAGAUCUGGGGCGCUGGGGUGAGAUCUGGGGUGCUGGGGUGAGGUCUGGGUUACAGGGGUGAGAUCUGGGGCGCUGGGGUGAGAUCUGGGUUACAGGGGUGGGAUCGGGGGCGCUGGGGUGAGAUCUGGGGCGCUGGGGUGAGGUCUGGGUUACAGGGGUGAGAUCUGGGGCGCUGGGGCCAGCUGAAGCACGGGAGCAGGGGAAGCCUGCUGCCUUACCUGCCAUGACAGCUGGAGAGUGGCAGUUAGGGGAGCCCCUCCCCCAACGGGGGGUUGCGUGACCGUUGGGGUCAGCCCCUUU